GACGAACGCUGGCGGCGUGCUUAACACAUGCAAGUCGAACGGAAAGGCCCCUUUGGGGGUACUCGAGUGGCGAACGGGUGAGUAACACGUGAGUAACCUGCCCUUGACUUCGGGAUAACUUCAGGAAACUGGGGCUACUACCGGAUAGGAAUCCUUGCUGCAUGGUGGGGGUUGGAAAGCUUCGGCGGUUUUGGAUGGACUCGCGGCUUAUCAGCUUGUUGGUGGGGUAGUGGCUUACCAAGGCGUUGAGGGGUAGCCGGCCUGAGAGAGCGACCGGCCACAUUGGGACUGAGGUACGGCCCAGACGCCGACGGGAGGCAGCAGUGGGGAAGAUUGCACAAUGGGCGGAAGGCUGAUGCAGCAGCGCCGCGGGCGGGAUGACGGCCUUCGGGUUGUAAACCGCGUUCAGCAGGGGCGAAGCUUGUGGUGACGGUACCUGCAGAAGAAGCACCGGCUAACUACGUG
rnacentral:rRNA from 1 species